GACGAACGCUGGCGGCGUGCUUAACACAUGCAAGUCGAACGAAGUGGCGAACGGGUGAGUAACGCGUAAUCAACCUGCCCUUCAGAGGGGGACAACAGUUGGAAAAGACUGCUAAUACCGCAUACUGACGGGGGGGAUUGCGUCUGAUUAGCUAGUUGGGGGGGUAACGGCCCACCAAGGCGAUGAUCAGUGGCCGGUCUGAGAGGAUGAACGGCCACAUUGGGACUGAGACACGGCCCAGAAUCCUACGGGAGGCAGCAGUGGGGAAUCUUCCGAAAUGGACGAAAGUCUGACGGAGCAACGCCGCGUGAGUGAUGACGGCCUUCGGGUUGUAAAGCUCUGUUAAUCGGGACGCGGUACCGGAAUAGAAAGCCACGGCUAACUACGUGCCAGCAGCCGCGGUAAUUC
rnacentral:rRNA from 1 species